UCUCUUUUUUUCAUUUUUUAAUGACGCAUGAGGGUCAUGCGUCUUAGAGAGAGACGCAUCUCCCUCAUGCGUCUUUUAUAUUUUUUAAAUUUCACGGACGACGCAUGAGCGUCAUGCGUCUUAGAAAGAGACGCAUGGGGCUCAUGCGUCUCCAAUUUCGAAUUAAAGCAGCAGCGAAGGCAGUAGCCUCCUCAUUCACGCAAACAGAAAGAGAGACGACGAACUUGGCGAUUUUUCCUUUGUUAUUCGGCGAAGAAGACGAUUUCCACUCGUGUUCCGAUAAGUUUCGUUCAAUCCUUCAACCUUCCUUCCUUAAUUGUUGUUAAUUUGCAUAGUUUGUUUAGAUUUCCCCUAAUGUUUGUAAAUUAGGGUUUAUAACAAAUAGCUCCAUUUUGGUCAAUUUUUUUGUUGUUUAGUUAAUUGUAAUGGAUUUUAGUGGGUAAAUUCAUUGUAUUGUAUAUUAUUGGUAUGUUUGAGAUGAUUGGUGUUGUGAUUUUGGUUGUAAUUUGGUUAAAAUAAGUGAAGACUAACCGGAACAAAAAAAUAAGAUUAGGUGAAGUGAAUUAUCAGGCCUUCUAAAAACUGUUCUAUAACCUAACACAUUGCACUUGCAACCCUCUAUCACUUGUUGUUCUCUUGUUAUAUUAUGUUAUUUGUACAUGCCAUUGUGAGUUUGUAAUUGUUGUUUUGUGAAUAUGUACUUAGAUUAGAUGGAGACUUCAAGUUCUAGCGGACAUUUAUUGUAUGGACCCGAAGACCCGUUCGUCUUAAAUAUGCAAAAAAAUCACAUUUCAAAUAAACUCAUGAAAGAGGGAACAACCCAAGUAUUUAAAGUCCGAAGGACUGAAAGUAAGACUUGGGACGUCGAAAUUCAUGAGAAUGUUAGAUAUUGGCUUGACGUCUUUGGUUUCAAAGGCGUGAUCGAUUGUGGGAGGCCCAUGAAGGUCGACAAUGAGCUGAUCACGGCGUUGAUUGAGCGUUGGAGGCCGGAGACACACACUUUCCAUCUACCGAUCGGUGAGACGACGAUCACCUUGGAAGAUGUGCAAGCCAUUUGAGGCUUGAGGGCGGAUGGUCACGUUUUCACAGGGCGUGACUAUCAUGACAACUUUUCAGAUUGGACCAACAAGUGCCGCGAUCUGUUGGGAUGGAUACCAGAUACUUCCAUAGAGACAAAGCAAGACGGUUUGCUGAUGACCGCACUGAUCAACCAGACAAGGAUGCCUCUGGGUGAUGACCUACCUACGCACGUAUACAUCCAAAGGGCACGUAUCCAUGCCCUAAUUUCUAAUUUUAUUAGGAGGUCUCAUUCUAUCGGACACAAUGGGGUGUAAGGUGCCAUUUAUGUGGUUGAAUGGGCUUGGGGAUCCGGAAGAGGUGAAGAAUAUUAGUUGGGGAAGUGCGGCAUUGGCGUACCUUUAUCAUUAUCUGUGCGAGGCUUCCAUGGAUAAGAGAAAAGAGUUGGGCAGGCCUAUGAUCCUUCUGCAGAUAUGGGCGUGGGAAAGAAUGCUCACAUUGAGGCCUGCGUUCAUAGGACCAGUUGUGCACGAGCCAUAUACACCAUGUGGCGCCAGGUGGAAAGGAACAACGCAGAUAGGAAAUGCUCCUAGACACUCGGCUUGACGUCUUUGGUUUCAAAGGCGUGAUCGAUUGUGGGAGGCCCAUGAAGGUCGACAAUGAGCUGAUCACGGCGUUGAUUGAGCGUUGGAGGCCGGAGACACACACUUUCCAUCUACCGAUCGGUGAGACGACGAUCACCUUGGAAGAUGUGCAAGCCAUUUGAGGCUUGAGGGCGGAUGGUCACGUUUUCACAGGGCGUGACUAUCAUGACAACUUUUCAGAUUGGACCAACAAGUGCCGCGAUCUGUUGGGAUGGAUACCAGAUACUUCCACAGAGACAAAGCAAGACGGUUUGCUGAUGACCGCGCUGAUCAACCAGACAAGGAUGCCUCUGGGUGAUGACCUACCUACGCACGUAUACAUCCAAAGGGCACGUAUCCAUGCCCUAAUUUCUAAUUUUAUUAGGAGGUCUCAUUCUAUCGGACACAAUGGGGUGUAAGGUGCCAUUUAUGUGGUUGAAUGGGCUUGGGGAUCCGGAAGAGGUGAAGAAUAUUAGUUGGGGAAGUGCGGCAUUGGCGUACCUUUAUCAUUAUCUGUGCGAGACUUCCAUGGAUAAGAGAAAAGAGUUGGGCAGGCCUAUGAUCCUUCUGCAGAUAUGGGCGUGGGAAAGAAUGCUCACAUUGAGGCCUGCGUUCAUAGGACCAGUUGUGCACGAGCCAUAUACACCAUGUGGCGCCAGGUGGAAAGGAACAACGCAGAUAGGAAAUGCUCCUAGACACUCGGUUGAGCAUUACCGUGACCAAAUAUCCCUGAUUAGACCUGGCUAGUUUAUCUGGACGCCAUAUGCACCUUUCAUACUGCCUGACUACUGCAAUGAUGUGACUGGAUGCUCUUUGUGCGAAACCUACUUGGUAUGUUGGGCCUAUGUCGAUGCCCAUGAGCCUGGAAGAGUGCGCCGACAGUUCAAUCGGUAUCAGGAUAUACCUCAGUAUGUAGACAGGAUGCUAAGGAACGCCGAUCAUUUGGGCAAAAAUGAUCGGCGUGGUAAGAAGGGCAACAACUGGGCAAACACGCAUCAGUUCUACAUUGGGGAGUGGGACAUGAGAUACGAAAGGUUCCAAGCUGCCGAAUACGCCGCACCGAUGUCCAUGAAUAUUCCCAUGAACCCGGGGUAUAUGGCGUGGUAUAACAGGAUUACCGUGACGUACAUGACUCAGCCUGGGACACGGGCCACUGCUGGGAUGAACGAGUCGGCUGCUUCGAUGAGACUAUUUGUUGAGGGUUUUCAGCAGGUUUUCCAUUUAACUACGAAAGACGAAAUGGACCCACGAGUGCGCCAGAUUUGAGAAAUUAUUAAGAAUGUCCUCGAAUCUACGAACAACGCUGAUGUCAUGGAGUACCCCGCUUCUCAACAUCAGGAUGUGGUCAUGCCUUAUGAACCAGAAGUAGUUCCACGACGUCGUGGAGUGCCUGGUGUUUGGACUGGGGGACACGGCUAUACAAAGCAGUUUAGGAUGUCCCAGCCGUUGCCCGAUUAUGUAGCACCAGAGCCGCAGCAUCAAGAGCAUGACCCACCCCAGUGGUAUUCAUACCCGGCGCAUGAGUCUCAAUCACAGUGGGAGCGUCCCCUGUAUUCUCCUAGCCAGCCUGAGCCCGAUUGGACUCGUCGCCCAUAUUCACAAAGCCAAGACGUGCAGCAAUGGAGUGGAGCCCAAGCGUCGGUCGAUUCAUUCUUCCAGAAUUAUCAGAUCGUGCAUCCUGUACAAGCUGAAGAAGAUGAUGAUGAAAGAGAAGAAGAAACUGACAACGUAGGGGAGGAAAAUUAGGAGGAAGACGUUGUUCAAAGCAUCCAUGUCCAACCUCGACCAGAUAUGGAGGGUUCAUCACGCGGCGGGGUUGGGAAGCUCAUGAGUAAAGUUUACAAGAGACUGUCAAUGAGAAAGAAUAAGGGGAUUGAACCGUCUAAAUACACUCCGUCGUCGUAUAAGUAGCAACUGUUAUCAUAAAUAGAAGUUACAAUUACUGAUGGCGAAACUUGGAUGGUUUGUU